UCCCCUCCCCACCACAGCCCCCUCUUUCAACAAUCCUGACACACCCUGACUUGCCCUUUAUGCUGGGGGCUGGGAGCAGAGCUGGCCAAGAGCCAUGUGAUGGGGAGUUCUCCCCACACACCCCUGAAGGGGUUAAGGUGGCUCAGAAGGGGCUAAUUAACCCAUCAGGCUGAACAUGGGAGAAGACAUAGGCUUGACUGACAAGCCUGCAGUGAAGAUGGAGCCCAUGUGUCCAGGAGUAGGUGGGGCUUGUGUAAAGCCAGGAAGUGCCAGCAGUAGGGGCUGCGUCUCUCUCUGGGCCAGGGGAAAACUCUGUAGGAGCUGGCUGGAGACCAAGGCACAGAAGAGAGGCACUGCGACUCCUGGCAAGCACAACAGGCAGCAGCGUGAGUGAGCAAAGGAAGGGUGUGUCUGACCGGGCAGAGGAGAUGCUCCAGCGAUCUGAGGGCAUCACAGAUGUCUUGCAAACUCCUAUCCCACCGGAACUGUCAUGAGCGAGAUGGCACAGAUCCCGGGACUGGUCCGUCUUCAGAUCCAGGGCUUUUAAAAGAAAGACACAAACUCAAAAUGGGGGUAUUGCUACUGAAUAUUAACAUGUGCUAAUGUAACCCUCUGAAAGAGGAAACCGUGGUGGAGGUCAGUCUA